GACCUAGAACUUCCAACUCCCCCAUUUCCCAGGCUGGCAGAGGCCAUAAUAGUAAACGUUAGAAGAAUUACAGUUGCUAGUAUUUAUCACCCUUGUGAUAGUUUGCAGUUUUGCCUUCCAUCCAAUCCAAACACCUAUCUUCCUGGAAACGCUUCAAGGAAAAGCGGAAGCACAUUUCUAGCAUUUGAAGCUUCCGAUUUCGAAACGACUUGAAGCGAAACUGUUGCUAUCGAUCAGAUUACAAGAAGAAGGAGAAGGAGAAGCAGUGGGAGAGUGUUAUUGUUUUCUGAC
rnacentral:misc_RNA from 1 species